rnacentral:rRNA from 1 species
AUGCAGUCGAGCGAACAGAUAAGGAGCUUGCUCCUUUGACGUUAGCGGCGGACGGGUGAGUAACACGUGGGUAACCUACCUAUAAGACUGGAAUAACUCCGGGAAACCGGGGCUAAUGCCGGAUAACAUAUAGAACCGCAUGGUUCUAUAGUGAAAGAUGGUUUUGCUAUCACUUAUAGAUGGACCCGCGCCGUAUUAGCUAGUUGGUAAGGUAAUGGCUUACCAAGGCGACGAUACGUAGCCGACCUGAGAGGGUGAUCGGCCACACUGGAACUGAGACACGGUCCAGACUCCUACGGGAGGCAGCAGUAGGGAAUCUUCCGCAAUGGGCGAAAGCCUGACGGAGCAACGCCGCGUGAGUGAUGAAGGGUUUCGGCUCGUAAAACUCUGUUAUUAGGGAAGAACAUAUGUGUAAGUAACUGUGCACAUCUUGACGGUACCUAAUCAGAAAGCCACGGCUAACUACGUGCCAGCAGCCGCGGUAAUACGUAGGUGGCAAGCGUUAUCCGGAAUUAUUGGGCGUAAAGCGCGCGUAGGCGGUUUCUUAAGUCUGAUGUGAAAGCCCACGGCUCAACCGUGGAGGGUCAUUGGAAACUGGGAAACUUGAGUGCAGAAGAGGAAAGUGGAAUUCCAUGUGUAGCGGUGAAAUGCGCAGAGAUAUGGAGGAACACCAGUGGCGAAGGCGACUUUCUGGUCUGUAACUGACGCUGAUGUGCGAAAGCGUGGGGAUCAAACAGGAUUAGAUACCCUGGUAGUCCACGCCGUAAACGAUGAGUGCUAAGUGU